rnacentral:rRNA from 1 species
CCUACGGGUGGCAGCAGUGAGGAAUAUUGGUCAAUGGACGGAAGUCUGACCCAGCCAUGCCGCGUGCAGGAAGACGGCUCUCUGAGUUGUAAACUGCUUUUGUACAAGGGUAAACAUGAAUACGUGUCUUUAGCUGUAAGGACUGUACGUAAUAGGAUCGGCUCACUACGUGCCAGCAGCCGCGGUAAUACGGAGGAUUCAAGCGUUAUCCGGAUUUAUUGGGUUGAAAGUGUGCGUAGGCGGAUUGAUAAGUUAGAGGUGAAAUGUCCGGGCUUAACUCGGGAACGUCCUUGAAUACUGUAGAUCUAGAGAGUAGAUGCGGUAAGCGGAAUGUAUGGUGUAGCGGUGAAAUGCGUAGAGAUCAGACAGAACACCGAUGGCGAAGGCAGCUUACCAAUCUAUAUCUGACGUUGAGGCACGAAAGCGUGGGGAGCAAACAGGAUUAGAUACCCCUGUAGUC